rnacentral:lncRNA from 1 species
GCGAAAUACAAGGAGAGACACAAUUAUAUUCAUUGCAAGUGAAAAUUAAAGCAAUAAAUCUAAAAAAUGAAAUGACCCUCUGUCACUAUCAGUGUGUCACUAUUAGUGUUCACACUGAAUAAGAUGAGCAACUGGAGAGUCAUGAAUAUGAUCAGGUCUCUGAUCAGUCAAUGGCAAAACAAUGGGAGUUCUGGGCUGCUCUUCUCCACCAUGGAAACAAAAGGGGUUUUGGCGUCAGGUACCAGCGGAGGCAGCACAAGCUGUAUGGGGCUCUAUGUAACAUAGGGUGGAGGGGGAGAAAAAUGUGCUGGGAGCCAGAAAGGGCUGCCAGUACCAGCUGUUAUGAUACCAAACAGGAAGACGAGCUGUCCAUGCAUUCCUGCCAACUCUGAGGUCCAGUCUGUGGCCAGAAUGGAACUGAGCACUGCAAUGCAUUGUCUCAUUCCUGAUCAAGUUCUCUCCCCAGGGAGCACUAAUGGGCUAAUGGCCACAGAAGUCUGUUUUGUUCUCUAAAUGAGCAGGAUCAAAGUGUGCUUGCUCUGUGUAAAACUCAACACUACUUCUGACUUCCUCAGAGGACUGCUAUCGCUCUCCUGUACCUUUGAUGACGCUUCAGAGCUUCUUUUCCAACCUCUUCAAAAUACUUAACAGGCUUUAAGGAAAAAAUACAGUUCAUUGAAGGAAAAAGACAUUCAUCUGAAUCCCAAGAUUAAAGAGGGCACAACCUACUAACCAAACACAAUACUAAGGGUUCUGGGAGAGCAAUUUGUAUAAUUGUUU